GGCAAGAGACUGAAAGGGAAGAAUAAAGAGACUGAGGAGUUAAGGAAGAUCCCUAAGUUAUAAACUUUAAUGACUGAGACAAUGAUGGCAGGAUGACCGGUAAAGAUCGCUUCUAUAAGUAAAGGAAAAAUGUAAAUUCUCCAGACCUACACCUUGCCCUUAGAAGAAAUAAUUUAUAACAAUACAUAAAACCCCAGCAUGAGAAUCAGAAGACCUGGACUCUAGCUUGAUGAGCCAAGGAGUAGUAGAGAUGAAAAUAAGAAAGAGAGACAGAGAGAGAGAAGAAGGAAGGAAGAAGAAGAUGGAGGAGGAGAUGAAGGAAGAGGAGAAAGAAGAGGAAGAGGAGGAGGAGGAAGAAGAAGAGAAAAAAGAGAAGAAGAAAAAGAAAGAGAAAGAAAAAAAGGAGGAUGAAGGAAUCGAAGCUGAAAGGAUCCCAGGACCCCACUCUCAUUUACAGAUGACUACACUAAGGCCCUAAGAAGUUGGGAUUUGACCAGCCACCAUCUUUUCUUCAUCAGCCCAAACCUUGAAAAUGAAUCUAAAUCAUAAGUUCCAGAAUUACAGGUAUAUCUUCCAAUAACCAUCCAAGUCACAUAAGAAUCUAUGCAAAGAACUAAAAAUUUUGAGCCUAGAGAGAAGAUAGAGUCAACCUAAUUCCUCUCUUCAAAUAUCUGAAUUACUGUCUUUGGGAAGACAGAGAAAGUUCAUACUAUUUGGUCCCAGAAGACAGAAGCAAGACCUGUAUGAGGAAAUUUCAGGAAAACAGUCAUAGAAUCCAAGUCUUCCUAAUGAUUGAAGUGCCUAAAAGAGAAUGAGAUGACUCCUAAGACCCCUAAAAGAUGACUCACUAAGUAAGUGAGCUUAUCCAUCAAUGCAAACCAUGAAGAAGAUGCUGAACGACCAUUUUUCAUAUGGCGUAGAGGGAAUUCCUGUUCAUGUAUGGGCAGCAAGAUGGUGCAAUGGAUAAAGAACUGGAAAUGCGAUCAGGAAGACAUGAAUUUAAAUCUAGUCUCUGACAGUUACUAGCUUAAUAAAUCAUUUAACCUUUGCCUCAGUUUCCUCACCUGUAAAAUGAAGAUAAUAAUACCUACAUUCCAGGACUGAUGUGAGGAUCAAAUAAAAUGAUAUUUAAAAAGCACUUUGCAAACCAUAAAAUGCUUUAUAAAUUCAAGCUAUUAUUAUUGUUGCUGUUAUUAAAUAACUUCAACAAUCUGGUGUUUUCAGGUCCAAAUAAUAAUUCUCAAAUAAAACUCAUAGAAAUCUCUACUUUAAUCUAGUAUUUGAAGAUGCUAAUUCUA